rnacentral:tRNA from 1 species
UCGGGGGUGGUGUAAUGGCAACACUGCGGGUUCUGGUCCCGUCAUUGAGGGUUCGAAUCCUUCCCCCCGAG